rnacentral:rRNA from 1 species
GACGAACGCUGGCGGCAUGCUUAACACAUGCAAGUCGAACGGGACGGCCUCUUUCGGGGGCUACUCGGUUGGUGAAGGGGUGAGUAACACGUUUGUAAUCUGCACUUCACCUUGGGAUAACUUCAGGAAACUGGGGCUAAUACCGGAUAGGAGCUCCUGCGCCUUGGGGGGGGCUGGCAAGGUUUGGCGGUUGGGGAGGGAUACGCGGCUUAUCAGCUUGUUGGUGGGGUAUGGGCUUAGCAAGGCUUUGACGGGACGCCGGCCGGUGAGGGGGACCGGCCACAAUGGGAAUGGGAAACGGGACAGACCCCUACGGGAGGCAGCAGGGGGGAAUGGUGCACAAUGGGUGGAAGCCUGAUGCCGCAACGACGUGUGCGGGAUGACGGACGUCGGGUUGUAAGCCGCUUUCGCCCAUGACGAAGCUUUGUGAGACGGUAGUGGGUAAAGAAGCACCGGCUUAAUACGUG